CUUAAACACAAACUCACACCAUUUUACAUAUAGUCACACUUUAUUUACACCCAAUUUGCAACCAUGCACACAAUCAUCAGUCCCCCUUAUCCUCCAGAUGGGCCAUACCUAAGUACUGUAAUUUCAUAAGAAGGGGGAUCAGCCUCCAAAAAUUGUUCUUCCUGCUGUGGGAGCAGGAAAGCCUUACACUGUACGCACAGGCUGCUCCCUGCCGAGUGGUUCCGGUGCUGACAGGCAAGGGGCAGCCGGGAUACUAGGUCAUGUCCCAGUUUCCCCUGCCUGCAGGAAGUAGUGUCUUCUGCUUGGGUGCUGUGUUUACAGCAAACCCUGCUCCCCAACCGGUCAAUCGGCAGAAGAUGGAGCCCAGCAGGUGAAUGGCUGCGCUGGAGGGUG